AUGCAGCUAUGCUGCAGUCUCUCUGGCAUUCUCUCUCUCUCACGCUUUCCCAUUUACUGCUUUCCUUAUUUCUUUAUUUCCUUUCUUCCUUCCUUCUUUCCUUCCUUCUUUCUUUCCUUCUUUCCUUCUUUCUUUCCUUCUUUCCUUACUUCUUUCUUUCCUUCUUUCCUUCCUUCUUUCCUUAAUUCUUUCCUUCCUUCUUUCUUUCUUUCCUUCCUUCCUUCCUUCCUUCCUUCCUUCCUUCCUUCCUUCCUUCCUUCCUUCCUUCCUUCCUUCCUUCCUUCCUUCCUUCCUUCUUUCCUUCUUUCCUUCUUUCCUUCCUUCUUUCCUUCCUUCUUUCUUUCCUUCUUUCUUUCCUUCUUUCCUUACUUCCUUCUUUCUUUCCUUCUUUCCUUCCUUCUUUCUUUCCUUCUUUCCUUCCUUCUUUCUUUCCUUCUUUCCUUACUUCUUUCCUUACUUCCUUCCUUCCUUCUUUCUUUCCUUCUUUCCUUCCUUCUUUCCUUCUUUCUUUCCUUCUUUCCUUCCUUCUUUCCUUCCUUCUUUCUUUCCUUCUUUCUUUCCUUCUUUCCUUACUUCCUUCUUUCCUUCCUUCUUUCUUUCCUUUCUUCCUUCCUUCUUUCCUUCCUUCUUUCUUUCCUUCCUUCUUUCUUUCCUUCUUUCCUUACUUCUUUCUUUCCUUCUUUCCUUCCUUCUUUCCUUAAUUCUUUCCUUCCUUCUUUCUUUCUUUCCUUCCUUCCUUCCUUCCUUCCUUCCUUCCUUCCUUCCUUCCUUCCUUCUUUCUUUCUUUCCUUCUUUCCUUCCUUCUUUCCUUCUUUCCUUCUUUCCUUCCUUCUUUCUUUCCUUCUUUCUUUCCUUCUUUCCUUACUUCCUUCUUUCUUUCCUUCUUUCUUUCCUUCUUUCCUUACUUCCUUCUUUCUUUCCUUCUUUCCUUCCUUCUUUCCUUACUUCUUUCCUUACUUCCUUCCUUCCUUCUUUCUUUCCUUCUUUCCUUCCUUCUUUCCUUCCUUCUUUCUUUCCUUCUUUCCUUCCUUCUUUCCUUCCUUCUUUCUUUCCUUCUUUCUUUCCUUCUUUCCUUACUUCCUUCUUUCCUUCCUUCUUUCUUUCCUUCUUUCUUUCCUUCUUUCCUUACUUCCUUCCUUCUUUCCAUCUGCUUAA
rnacentral:lncRNA from 1 species